UCCUCCCUCUUUCUUCGUGCUUAACACAUGCAAGUCGAACGGAAAGGCCCUGCUUUUGUGGGGUGCUCGAGUGGCGAACGGGUGAGUAACACGUGAGUAACCUGCCCUUGACUUUGGGAUAACUUCAGGAAACUGGGGCUAAUACCGGAUAGGAGCUCCUGCUGCAUGGUGGGGGUUGGAAAGUUUCGGCGGUUGGGGAUGGACUCGCGGCUUAUCAGCUUGUUGGUGGGGUAGUGGCUUACCAAGGCUUUGACGGGUACCCGGCCUGAGAGGGUGACCGGCCACAUUGGGACUGAGAUACGGCCCAGACUCCUACGGGAGGCAGCAGUGGGGAAUAUUGCACAAUGGGCGGAAGCCUGAUGCAGCAACGCCGCGUGCGGGAUGACGGCCUUCGGGUUGUAAACCGCUUUCGCCUGUGACGAAGCGUGAGUGACGGUAAUGGGUAAAGAAGCACCGGCUAACUACGUG
rnacentral:rRNA from 1 species